rnacentral:lncRNA from 1 species
CAAAAACCGGAGGACAUGAAGAGAAAAGAAACAUGCGGAAAUAGACUCAUACAUUUCACGAGUGAUCGGAAAACGUGAUUUCCACUCCAACAUAGCUCUCGCACAGCAUUGGAACAUAAGACUCAAAGAAAAAUGAACCCAGAAACGGAAUGAACUACACGCUAACUUGGUUCGGGCAUUUCAACAAACAAAUGGCAGGUGUAUUUAUACAUGAAAUUCAGAAGCAAGCUCAAUACUCUAUUCGAUCCGAACGUAACAUAUCAAGCUUUAGAUCAAUAUUACUUGCCACAAAAACGAUACUAACUUCGAACAACCUUCUCACGCAUUGAUCAUCAAGCCAUAUAUCCUAAGAUCGGCAAAGAAAAGCAAAUAGAGAUUACCUGGCUUCGAAGACCAAAUGUGAUCGGCUAUCCCCAUGAGUGGGUUGGGCUCGUCUUCUGGCGCAUCGUGUCUGGUUUCCGCAACGCUUUUGACGCUGGGCAGAACGGAACGAUGAAAAGGCAACGAACGGUGGCGAGAUCCGGGGUGGCGGCCACCUCCGAUGACCGACGCAGAUGAUCCUCCUUCCAGCCGAAUCCUCUUUUUACGAGGCACCCUCUCGUCGCUGGCUUUUCUUCUUCCGAUCCCCCUCCAAAAAAACUGACGCGCCCCCUCUACCUUCUCUGCCUCCGAGAGCGUCCAGCCCCCCACUCUUUUCAGCAGAGAAUCCCCUUCCGUUAGACCACGCUCUCUCUGGUUUCUUUUCUUCAAUGGCCGAACGCUCGACUUCUUGCCUCCAGAAUUAGCGCCCUGCCCCUCCUUUCUUUUUCCUUCUUUCUGGUUCGAACUCGGGCAGUCCCCUCCUACAAACCAAAACCAGCCGAAGCUCCCCCCUUGGUUCUCUCACUUUCCGGCUCUCCGGAACUUGGCCUCUUCAACGGCCGCCCUCUCUGAAGGCGUCUCUCCUCCUUUUGUUACGGGAACAGGAUCCUCUUCAGGCGAGCAUCCCUUCCGGCCGAAGACGUUCCUCGGCGAGCAGCUCCUUUCUCGGAUUCUCUCUCUGCGAU